rnacentral:rRNA from 1 species
CAGCAGCCGCGGCAAUACGGAGGGUCCGAGCGUUAUCCGGAAUUAUUGGGUUUAAAGGGUCCGUAGGCGGGCGAUUAAGUCAGUGGUGAAAGUCUGCAGCUCAACUGUAGAAUUGCCUUUGAUACUGGUCGUGUUGAGUUAUAGUGAAGUUGCCGGAAUAUGUAGUGUAGCGGUGAAAUGCAUAGAUAUUACAUAGAACACCGAUUGCGAAGGCAGGCGACUAACUAUAUACUGACGCUGAGGGACGAAAGCGUGGGGAGCGAACAGGAUUACAUACCCUGGUAGUCCACGCCGUAAACGAUGGAUACUAGCUGUUCGGUUUUCGAACUGAGCGGCCAAGCGAAAGUGAUAAGUAUCCCACCUGGGGAGUACGUUCGCAAGAAUGAAACUCAAAGGAAUUGACGGGGGCCCGCACAAGCGGUGGAGCAUGUGGUUUAAUUCGAUGAUACGCGAGGAACCUUACCAGGGCUUAAAUGCAUAUUGACAGGGGUAGAGAUACCUUUUCCUUCGGGCAAUUUGCAAGGUGCUGCAUGGUUGUCGUCAGCUCGUGCCGUGAGGUGUCAGGUUAAGUCCUAUAACGAGCGCAACCCCUACCGUUAGUUGCCAGCAUGUCAUGAUGGGGACUCUAACGGGACUGCCGGUGCAAACCGUGAGGAAGGUGGGGAUGACGUCAAGUCAUCACGGCCCUUACGUCCUGGGCCACACACGUGCUACAAUGGCAGGUACAGAGAGCAGCCAUGUCGCAAGGCAGAGCGAAUCUACAAAACCUGUCACAGUUCGGAUCGGGGUCUGCAACUCGACCCCGUGAAGCCGGAAUCGCUAGUAAUCGGAUAUCAGCCAUGAUCCGGUGAAUACGUUCCCGGGCCUUGUACACACCGCCCGUCAAGCCAUGGAAGCUGGGGGUACCUGAAGUCCGUCACCGUAAGGAGCGGCCUAGGGUAAAACUGGUAACUAGGGCUAAGUCGUAACAAGGUA